GACGAACGCUGGCGGCGUGCUUAACACAUGCAAGUCGAACGGAAAGGCCCUGCUUUUGUGGGGUGCUCGAGUGGCGAACGGGUGAGUAACACGUGAGUAACCUGCCCUUGACUUUGGGAUAACUUCAGGAAACUGGGGCUAAUACCGGAUAGGAGCUCCUGCUGCAUGGUGGGGGUUGGAAAGUUUCGGCGGUUGGGGAUGGACUCGCGGCUUAUCAGCUUGUUGGUGGGGUAGUGGCUUACCAAGGCUUUGACGGGUAGCCGGCCUGAGAGGGUGACCGGCGACAUUGGGACUGAGAUACGGCCCAGACGCCUACGGGAGGCAGCAGGGGGGAAUAUUGCACAAUGGGCGGAAGCCUGAUGCAGCAACGCCGCGUGCGGGAUGACGGCCUUCGGGUUGUAAACCGCUUUCGCCUGUGACGAAGCGUGAGUGACGGUAAUGGGUAAAGAAGCACCGGCUAACUACGUG
rnacentral:rRNA from 1 species